UUGGUGUUUGUGGUUCCUUGUUGGUUUCUCACAGACUCAACUCUCCAUUCGUUCCACCUAUGGCUGACACUGCCAGUCGGCAAGAAGCCCUUGCGGCAAAGAGACAAAAACAAAAAGAAAGGGAAGAGAAAUGGGUGGAG
rnacentral:ribozyme from 1 species